rnacentral:rRNA from 1 species
GUGAACGCUGGCGGUAGGCCUAACACAUGCAAGUCGAACGGCAGCACAGUAAGAGCUUGCUCUUACGGGUGGCGAGUGGCGGACGGGUGAGGAAUACAUCGGAAUCUACUUUUUCGUGGGGGAUAACGUAGGGAAACUUACGCUAAUACCGCAUACGACCUACGGGUGAAAGCAGGGGAUCUUCGGACCUUGCGCGAUUGAAUGAGCCGAUGUCGGAUUAGCUAGGUGGCGGGGUAAAGGCCCACCAAGGCGACGAUCCGUAGCUGGUCUGAGAGGAUGAUCAGCCACACUGGAACUGAGACACGGUCCAGACUCCUACGGGAGGCAGCAGUGGGGAAUAUUGGACAAUGGGCGCAAGCCUGAUCCAGCCAUACCGCGUGGGUGGAGAAGGCCUUCGGGUUGUAAAGCCCUUUUGUUGGGAAAGAAAAGCAGCAGGUUAAUACCCCGCUGUUCUGACGGUACCCAAAGAAUAAGCACCGGCUAACUUCGUG